rfam:Clostridium pasteurianum BC1, complete genome.
GGAAUCCUGUCAAAGUAAUAUUUAGCAAAUAGCUUUGUAUCGAGUCUUGGAGAUAUUGCGGUAACGUAACAUUUUAAGCGUAGACAGAAAGUUAGCGAGGUGGAAUUGACUGGGUGGUAACCCAGCAGUGAAUGGUAUAGAGCUCCGAAAAUCGGUGGAUGAUGUGGAAGAAACGUUCAUGUACGUGGAAAGCAACAGUUGUUUGUGCGUUAAUGCGAGUGCAAAUAGACACAUCCGGGGUCAGAGACCC